rnacentral:snRNA from 1 species
CGCGCCUAACGGCGUGCCUCGG